UGGUGUCUUUGCUGAGGGUGACACUGAGCUGCAAGCUGCAUCUGGGGUGCCUUUAGGAUUCAGCACCAUGGCGGAAGAAGACAUUGAGACCAAAAUCAAGAACUACAAGACUGCCCCUUUUGACAGCCACUUCCCCAACCAGAACCAAACCAGGAACUGCUGGCAGACCUACCUGGACUUCCACUGCUGUUAGAAGGCAAUGACCGCUAAAGGCAGCAAUGUCUCUGUGUGCGAAUGGUACCAGCGUGUGUACUAGUCUCUCUGCCCCACAUCCUGGGUCACAGACUGGGAGGAGCAACGGGCUGGAGGCACAUUUCCCGGGAAGAUCUGAACUGGCUGUACCUCCCUCUCCUCUGUCCUCUGUCCUUCUCCCAGGAUGGUGAAGGGAGAC